AGAGAUUGCCAGAGCGGUGAACAAAGCCGGUUCUCUUGAGACAAGGAGAUACGGCAUCCUCAUUUCUCAACACAGUGCAUAUUUAUGGAACAGCAACAUCAGAAGGCACUGUGGAAUUAGAACUCUGACCUCUGGCUUUAGGAGAAGGCUGGUCCUGCAGUUCUUCUGAAGCAGUUUUUUAUGAAGGAGCAUUUGUAUGGACACCCGUGUUUUAGAUAAGAAACUGUGUGGUGAACACCACUGGGUAGUUAACAUGAAAAUGAUUCAUUCCCACAGCACUGGCAAGUGCAGAGAUUUCCAAGCCCAGGCCCAAGCACGGAGGUUUUUUAAGCCUUAUUGAAGAGAGUGGGAAGUCUGUUACAGAGAGUAAAAGGAAAGGCUCAUUCACCAAAUCUGGAUUGAGAAGGGCAGUAUGUAACUGUAGUAGCAGGGACUUCCCCCCAGACUCAUGGUAAGAGCACAAGUCCUUGUAUAGCACGAGUACUUCCUACACAAAACACCUAUAUCUGUGAUCAAGACAAUGACAAGAUAUGUUACAGAAAGAAGAAAGGCUUUCUUUCCGUGAAGAUGUCUGUGUGAUUUUUUUUUUCCUCUGAAAGAUAUUUGAGACUUUCAAUCACUGGCAAUGAAAUUAUAAUCUACUUGUCUCCUAAAAUAAAAAAUAGAACAACCCCCUCUUUUACCUUCCUCUAGCAGAUCUAGUCUCUUUGCAUAUACUUUUCCUGAACAG
ensembl:lncRNA